GUGAGGGUGCCUGACGGUACUGUAGGAAUAAGCACCGGCUAACUCCGUGCCAGCAGCCGCGGUAAUACGGAGGGUGCGAGCGUUAUCCGGAUUUAUUGGGUUUAAAGGGUCCGUAGGCGGAUUAAUAAGUCAGUGGUGAAAUCCCAUCGCUUAACGAUGGAACUGCCAUUGAUACUGUUAGUCUUGAAUGAGGGUGCAGUGGUUGGAAUGUGUAGUGUAGCGGUGAAAUGCAUAGAUAUUACACAGAACACCGAUUGCGAAGGCAGAUCACUAACCCUAAAUUGACGCUGAGGGACGAAAGCGUGGGGAGCGAACAGGAUUAGAUACCCUGGUAG
rnacentral:rRNA from 1 species